GCACAUACUGUGAGCUCGAUGAGUAGGGCGGGACACGUGGUAUCCUGUCUGAAUAUGGGGGGACCAUCCUCCAAGGCUAAAUACUCCUGACUGACCGAUAGUGAACCAGUACCGUGAGGGAAAGGCGAAAAGAACCCCGGCGAGGGGAGUGAAAAAGAACCUGAAACCGUGUACGUACAAGCAGUGGGAGCACGCUUAGGCGUGUGACUGCGUACCUUUUGUAUAAUGGGUCAGCGACUUAUAUUCUGUAGCAAGGUUAACCGAAUAGGGGAGCCGAAGGGAAACCGAGUCUUAACUGGGCGUUAAGUUGCAGGGUAUAGACCCGAAACCCGGUGAUCUAGCCAUGGGCAGGUUGAAGGUUGGGUAACACUAACUGGAGGACCGAACCGACUAAUGUUGAAAAAUUAGCGGAUGACUUGUGGCUGGGGGUGAAAGGCCAAUCAAACCGGGAGAUAGCUGGUUCUCCCCGAAAGCUAUUUAGGUAGCGCCUCGUGAAUUCAUCUCCGGGGGUAGAGCACUGUUUCGGCAAGGGGGUCAUCCCGACUUACCAACCCGAUGCAAACUGCGAAUACCGGAGAAUGUUAUCACGGGAGACACACGGCGGGUGCUAACGUCCGUCGUGAAGAGGGAAACAACCCAGACCGCCAGCUAAGGUCCCAAAGUCAUGGUUAAGUGGGAAACGAUGUGGGAAGGCCCAGACAGCCAGGAUGUUGGCUUAGAAGCAGCCAUCAUUUAAAGAAAGCGUAAUAGCUCACUGGUCGAGUCGGCCUGCGCGGAAGAUGUAACGGGGCUAAACCAUGCACCGAAGCUGCGGCAGCGACGCUGAUGCGUUGUUGGGUAGGGGAGCGUUCUGUAAGCCUGUGAAGGUGUGCUGUGAGGCAUGCUGGAGGUAUCAGAAGUGCGAAUGCUGACAUAAGUAACGAUAAAGCGGGUGAAAAGCCCGCUCGCCGGAAGACCAAGGGUUCCUGUCCAACGUUAAUCGGGGCAGGGUGAGUCGACCCCUAAGGCGAGGCCGAAAGGCGUAGUCGAUGGGAAACAGGUUAAUAUUCCUGUACUUGGUGUUACUGCGAAGGGGGGACGGAGAAGGCUAUGUUGGCCGGGCGACGGUUGUCCCGGUUUAAGCGUGUAGGCUGGUUUUCCAGGCAAAUCCGGAAAAUCAAGGCUGAGGCGUGAUGACGAGGCACUACGGUGCUGAAGCAACAAAUGCCCUGCUUCCAGGAAAAGCCUCUAAGCAUCAGGUAACAUCAAAUCGUACCCCAAACCGACACAGGUGGUCAGGUAGAGAAUACCAAGGCGCUUGAGAGAACUCGGGUGAAGGAACUAGGCAAAAUGGUGCCGUAACUUCGGGAGAAGGCACGCUGAUAUGUAGGUGAAGCGACUUGCUCGUGGAGCUGAAAUCAGUCGAAGAUACCAGCUGGCUGCAACUGUUUAUUAAAAACACAGCACUGUGCAAACACGAAAGUGGACGUAUACGGUGUGACGCCUGCCCGGUGCCGGAAGGUUAAUUGAUGGGGUCAGCGCAAGCGAAGCUCUUGAUCGAAGCCCCGGUAAACGGCGGCCGUAACUAUAACGGUCCUAAGGUAGCGAAAUUCCUUGUCGGGUAAGUUCCGACCUGCACGAAUGGCGUAAUGAUGGCCAGGCUGUCUCCACCCGAGACUCAGUGAAAUUGAACUCGCUGUGAAGAUGCAGUGUACCCGCGGCAAGACGGAAAGACCCCGUGAACCUUUACUAUAGCUUGACACUGAACAUUGAGCCUUGAUGUGUAGGAUAGGUGGGAGGCUUUGAAGUGUGGACGCCAGUCUGCAUGGAGCCGGCCUUGAAAUACCACCCUUUAAUGUUUGAUGUUCUAACGUUGACCCGUGAUCCGGGUUGCGGACAGUGUCUGGUGGGUAGUUUGACUGGGGCGGUCUCCUCCUAAAGAGUAACGGAGGAGCACGAAGGUUGGCUAAUCCUGGUCGGACAUCAGGAGGUUAGUGCAAUGGCAUAAGCCAGCUUGACUGCGAGCGUGACGGCGCGAGCAGGUGCGAAAGCAGGUCAUAGUGAUCCGGUGGUUCUGAAUGGAAGGGCCAUCGCUCAACGGAUAAAAGGUACUCCGGGGAUAACAGGCUGAUACCGCCCAAGAGUUCAUAUCGACGGCGGUGUUUGGCACCUCGAUGUCGGCUCAUCACAUCCUGGGGCUGAAGUAGGU
rnacentral:rRNA from 1 species